UACGUAGGGCGCAAGCGUUGUCCGGAAUUAUUGGGCGUAAAGAGCUCGUAGGCGGCCUGUCGCGUCUGCUGUGAAAUCCCGGGGCUUAACCCCGGGCGUGCAGUGGAUACGGGCUGGCUGGAGGCAGGCAGGGGAGAACGGAAUUCCCGGUGUAGCGGUGAAAUGCGCAGAUAUCGGGAGGAACACCGGUGGCGAAGGCGGUUCUCUGGGCCUGGUCUGACGCUGAGGAGCGAAAGCGUGGGGAGCGAUCCGG
rnacentral:rRNA from 1 species